UACGGAGGGGGCUAGCGUUGUUCGGAAUUACUGGGCGUAAAGGGCGCGUAGGCGGCGUGUCAAGUCAGGCGUGAAAGCCCCGGGCUCAACCUGGGAACCGCGCUUGAGACUGGCAUGCUCGAGUUCGGGAGAGGAUGGUGGAAUUCCCAGUGUAGAGGUGAAAUUCGUAGAUAUUGGGAAGAACACCGAUGGCGAAGGCAGCCAUCUGGACCGACACUGACGCUGAGGCGCGAAAGCGUGGGAGCAAACAGGAUUGAG
rnacentral:rRNA from 1 species